AUUGAACGCUGGCGGCAUGCUUUACACAUGCAAGUCGAACGGUAACAGGCCUUCGGGUGCUGACGAGUGGCGAACGGGUGAGUAAUGCAUCGGAACGUACCCAGAGCUGGGGGAUAACGCAGCGAAAGCUGUGCUAAUACCGCAUGUGAUCUGAGGAUGAAAUCGGGGGACCGAGCAGCAAUGUUUGGCCUCGCGCCUUUGGAGCGGCCGAUGUCGGAGUAGCUGGUUGGUGGGGUAAAGGCCUACCAAGGCGACGAUCCGUAGCUGGUGUGAGAGAACGGCAGGCCACACGAGAACUGAGACACGGCCCAGACGCCUGCGGGAGGCAGCAGUGGGGAAUUUUGGACAAUGGGCGCAAGCCUGAUCCAGCAAGGCCGCGUGCGGGAAGAAGGCCUUCGGGUUGUAAACCGCUUUUGGCAGGAACGAAACGGUGUCCGCUAAUACCGGGCGCUAAUGACGGUACCUGGAGAAUAAGCACCGGCUAACUACGUG
rnacentral:rRNA from 1 species